UCAGACGUGAUUACCUGCUGAACUUAAGCAUAUCAGUAAGCAGAGGAAGAGAAACUAACAAG
rnacentral:rRNA from 1 species